rnacentral:rRNA from 1 species
CCAAACUCGGUCAUUUAGAGGAAGUAAAGUCGUAACAAGGUCUCCGUUGGUGAACCAGCGGAGGGAUCAUUA